AUAUAACAAAAAAUGACGUUAUAAAAAAUAUAAAUUUAAUAGAAGAAUUUUAAUAGUGUUUGUAGAAGGCCCAUUUUGCCCGGGCCUUUAAAUCUAUUUACAAAAAAAUAAAUAAACCAAAUAAAAAAUAAAAUAUAGAUUAUAAAUUAAAUUGUUUAUAGUCCAUAAAUACAAACCCAAAACUUGAGGCCUAAACCAAAAAUAAACCCAACAUCAGACCCAAACAAAUAACCCAAAUCCCAGCCCAAAACCUAAAAAUCAUUCAGCAAACCCUUGAGCCGCAGCAGCCUCCUCACUGUCGUACACCUCCGUACGCCCACGUCAGUCGAACCUGCAAGAAGAGGAGAAAUAAUAGAAAAUAUAGCAAAGCAAUGGCAUGAAAAAUGAGGAAAUUUGUAUUUUUAAUUUCUAUUCGGCUAUAAAAUGGAGGCCGAUUGUACUGUAAAAGGGACUGACACGCACAAAUAUCAAUAGAAAAAAUCUAAUACAAAAGAAAUUUUUGAAAAGUGAUUUGCUUUUCCUUUUAAAUUUGUUAUAGCAUUUCGUUUUUUUUCCUUCACUGUUCUUCAGUUCUUUUUUUUUUUCCGUUUGCAAAGAAGAAUAAAAAAGGAAAAGGAUAAAGGGGAAAGGCUCACCUGAACCGUUGGUACACUAUCAGAGUUUCUUCUCCGUUAAAGCCCAAAUCCAACGGAGGUUGAGACUCCUUUCUUUUGAUUCCUUGCGAUUGGAGGUGCUAGAACUUUGAACACAGCUUUAAACAAGUUUGAGUGAGGUAAUCUACCCUCCGUUGACCACUGUUUGUGAUGGUUGUAUGGCAGCUAGGGUUUGGUCUUUUAAGGAUCGGCUAAAAGAGGGGGGGAUUAGGGAUUUGUUUCAAUUGUUUGUAGAAAAUGGCAGAUUGCCAUUCAAAUGGUUUUUUUUUUAGUUUUAAUGGUAAAUAAAACGGCGCCGUUUAAGGGGGGAUCCGCGCGACAACCCGCUCCAUAGGCCGGAUCCGCGACUUUGCCUUCAAAUGGGUAAUUUGCACGGCUAGUCCUUCCCUUUCGCGUCGACUUUUAAUUAGUCUCUAUUUAUAUUUUAUUUGUUUUUUAAAAAUUUUUCCUGGAAUUUGCGUGUCAUUACAAUUUAGUCUACCCCUAAAUGCUGCGUUUUGGGAUUUGGAUCAUUUACAUUUUCAAUCCCCGCG
rnacentral:lncRNA from 1 species